rnacentral:rRNA from 1 species
AUUGAACGCUGGCGGCAUGCCUUACACAUGCAAGUCGAACGGUAACAGGUUAAGCUGACGAGUGGCGAACGGGUGAGUAAUAUAUCGGAACGUGCCCAGUAGUGGGGGAUAGCCCGGCGAAAGCCGGAUUAAUACCGCAUACGACCUACGGGUGAAAGGGGGGGAUCGCAAGACCUCUCGCUAUUGGAGCGGCCGAUAUCAGAUUAGGUAGUUGGUGGGGUAAAGGCCUACCAAGCCUGCGAUCUGUAGUUGGUCUGAGAGGACGACCAGCCACACUGGGACUGAGACACGGCCCAGACUCCUACGGGAGGCAGCAGUGGGGAAUUUUGGACAAUGGGCGCAAGCCUGAUCCAGCAAUGCCGCGUGCAGGAAGAAGGCCUUCGGGUUGUAAACUGCUUUUGUACGGAACGAAACGGCUCCUUCUAAUACAAGGGGCUAAUGACGGUACCGUAAGAAUAAGCACCGGCUAACUACGUGCCAGCAGCCGCGGUAACAC